rnacentral:rRNA from 1 species
UACGUAGGGACCAAGCGUUGUUCGGAUUUACUGGGCGUAAAGGGCGCGUAGGCGGCAAUUCAAGUCAUCUGUGAAAUCUCCGGGCUUAACUCGGAAUGGUCAGGUGAUACUGCUUUGCUAGAGUGCAGAAGGGGCAAUCGGAAUCUUGGUGUAGCGGUGAAAUGCGUAGAUAUCAAGAGGAACACCUGAGGUGAAGACGGGUUGCUGGGCUGACACUGACGCUGAGGCGCGAAAGCUAGGGGAGCAAACGGG